AGCUCUGUGGUGUACAACACGUUGGAUUGCAAAUCCAAAGAUGUAGUCUUACUGGCUGCCGGGGCUU
rnacentral:tRNA from 1 species